CCUUGUCCGCUCCCACCUGAUCCUCCGGGAGGCGCUGGACGUUGAACUCGACAUUUGACGGGCCUGUCAUCGUUGGAAGCCCCUUGGGCAUCCCAAGGCCCACUCCAGUCGGUUCAGCAGCCACCAGCGCCUCCUCAGUCGGUGGCACGUCCGCGGCGAGAGCAGUAACUGGCGGGACAGCCUCAAGGACAGGCUCCACAGCUUGCUCAGGUCUCCCCUGGUCACCCUCAUCCACAUAAAUCACCCCUGCCAGACCGAACGGCGCGAGAUCUCAGAAAAAGAAAGGGGCAAGACCGAAGACAGAAUUCGCGAUGCGAUAAUAUAAAACUUUCGGAAUCGCUACAACGCACCUGGCUGGGACGAGACGACGUUGUCCGCGUCCAUGGGAUCAUCCUCCUGGCGCGCCGGAGAGGUGGCAACCCUGUCGAGUGAAAUUCAUUCGACCAUCAAACAGGAGUUCAAUCGAAUAUCAGAAGAACAAUGCACUUACGUUGAGAUGACGGGAACAGUGACCCUCAUCCGCGGCAAAGCCCUCCGAGGUUUAGAUCCGCUCGGUUUAGCCACCUUGGAAGGCUGACCCGCAGGCUCAGCAGCAACGUCCCUGGUCCUCUUGGUGCUCCGAGCACUCGGGACCACGGGAGCAGUGGGCGGAGCACUCGAGGAUGCUGGAGGGGCCGAGGGAACUGCAGGUUCAUGUCGGCGCUUGGUUCGGUGCUCCGGCAGCGGGGGCGGCGAGUCCUGCUCUUCGUCUUCCUC
rnacentral:lncRNA from 1 species